CCAAAGUAAGAACAAAGGAAGAAAAGAAAGAACAAAAACCCUAGACUGAAAAUUCAAGAGAAAAUUGGUGGAUUUCAAGUAAUCAAGCAAUCAAAGGUAAAAUUUCUUGAUUUUGACUUAUGAUCUACCUUUCCCAUACAUUCUUUUGCAUUUUUCAUGGUUUAAUCAUAUGAUUUCAUGAUGGGUAUCUUGCUGGCCGAACACUUAGAGAGAGAUUUUGAUGGUUGUUUUGGUUAGAUUUUAACAUAUUCUAGUGGUUUUAGUUGAUUGGUGAUGUGUAGCAUGAAAAUCAAGCAAGAAAAAAUCAUGUUCUUCCAUAACCCUCAUUGGCCGAAUUCUCCAUGUGGAAUAUUGAUGAUGAUUUUGAUUUUAUUUCAAGUGAAUUGGUUAGGAAACGAUGAAUUACGAUAAGAAAAUCAAGUAGGAAAAAUCAUUGUAUUGAUACACCCACCAUGGCCGAAAUUCCCAAGAGAAAAUGUGAAGAUGAUUUUUGCUAAAUUUUAUGCUAUUUGACUUAUGUUUGAUGAUUUGGAGUAUUGGGAGAAAAAUGGAAUUAUUUGGAGUUGAAUUGGACGUAUUGGCCAAUUAAUCGGGUGAUAGAUCGAAUUAGGCCAAUACCAUUUUAUUUAGGUACACAAUUGAAUUUGGGUAGAACACCGUGUUUAAACGAUAAUCCGAAUAAUUUGCAUUCCAUAUCAUGCAUUAGUAAAGAGCCUAAAAUAGAUUUAUAAUGGUAUGACACAGUAUAUUGAAUUAUGUGUCGUGUAUUGUAUAUAGGUGGUGAGCCCUCUAACAAGGGUAAAGACGUUGUGUCAGAGGACUGAGAAUAGGAGUAUUUCAAACUCCUGAUACAGUGAGUAACCUUAUCAUCAUCUUGAUUAUCUGAAGUGAAUUUUAAUUCAUUUUUGUGAUUUUAUGGAAAAUGAGUUUAAAUGGUAAAUCUUUAUGUUUUUUAAGCAAAAAUGUGAUUAAACGAAAUGAUUUUAUAAAAUUGUCUUGAAAUUGAAAGAUGAUUUUGAAAAUGGAGUAAUUGGAGACUAAUUGUUGUGUUAUAAAUCAUGGUUUGAAUUGAAUGGCUUAUGAUAAUAUUGGCAUGAAUGGUUGAAUUGGUAAAUGUGCUGAAAAUAUAUGACUGUUGAUUUGCCUUGAGAGGUUGUAAAAUAAAAUAAUUGUCAUGUCAUGCUAUUGCAAAUUUUAUUGUAUGGUGGGUUUAGCUUGCUGCAGUGGGCAAGUUCUGUGGACUAGCCUUUUUGAGGGGCACGAAAUCCUGUUAUAUUCUUACCUCGAUUGGAGAGGUGCGUAGGGUAACUCUCGAGGUACAACUUUAGAGUUCAUUUCGCGCCAAACCAUCACAUGAGUGUGAACUCAGCCAACGCUAAGGAACGACUAUGUUUUCAAAAUAUAAACAUGAUUUAUGCGUACAUGACUUUUUAAUAACCUUGGCAGACUCGGUUGAGAUAACCCUCGGCCAAGGUAUCCCUAAUAAUUGAGUAUGAGAAUAAUUUUUGGCAUGAGCCAAGUUUUAAGAAAUUCAUAAGCCAUGUUGAUUACUCGAUUUAAAUGAAUUGAUUUUAUUUGGUUGAAAGGUGAUAAAUUACAGUAUGAUGAUUUAUUUCAAUCGUCUCCAUUUACUCGGCUUUAGAUAUUUUAGAUGAUAUUUGUUUACUCAUUGGGAUUAUAUAAUCUCACCACCCUCCUUUCCACCCCUUUUAGGCUCAGGAUAGUCGGUAGAUAGCUCAUUUCUUUGAGGGCUACAGUUGGACUUGCAUCCUUAAAAACUGUAGGUUUACCGCUUUUGAUACUUUUGGUCGUUCGUGGGCUCAUGUGUCACUGUAAAUUAAAUCUUAUGCUUUGGUUAUCUGUAUUAUAGUAUGUAUGAAUUUAUUUAGCUUUUACGCUACAAAAUUAUUUAC
rnacentral:lncRNA from 1 species